UCUCCACAAUAAAGUUGAUUACCGACUGAGCUACGUGUGUCUCGCGCUUGGGUCUAAACUGAUGUUGGACGUUAAGACAAUCGGUCUGUAAUAUCCUGGAUUUGUGCAAUCUUUCCCUGGUUUGCGUAUUGGAACUACAACAGCCUCCUUCCAGCUUUGUGGUAAUUUUCCACUUUCCCAGACCUUGUUAUAUAGUACCAAUAAAAUAUCCUUGGAUGAUUCACUGAUACGAUUUAUCAUAACAUAACAUAUCUGAUCUUUUCCUGGUGCGAACAUCUUACUUUCUUAACAGAGCGGUUUAGUUCAGUCUUUGUAAAUUGCUUGUUUAGUAUUAUCAUUUAUUUUCUGCUACUGUAGGUCCCCUUCCCCUUUUCCCUUCUUCACUAAUAUUAUCUGAACUGUGAAUUUUAACAAAAUUCUUUGCCAGCAUCUCUGCUUUCUCCUCAUCUUUCACUGCUGUUAUUUCACUAUCAUUUAAUACUGGGCACCCAAACUCUCUUUUAAUCCCAUUCAUUCUGUUUAUCAUUCCCCAAUUUUUUUUCCAAUUUCUGUCUCCCUUCCCACAGAGUUACAAAAUUUCCUCCAAGUCCUUCUUUGCUAUUUUAUGGUUCUCCUUACAUUAGCUUGCAACUUCUUAUACUCAAUAACAUUCUGAAAACUGUGAGUCCUUUUUAUUGCUUUAGUACAUGCUUUUGUCCACCAUGGUCCAAUCUUCCUUUUGUGCUUAUGGGGUGCUGUUUGUCAAGUGGAGCACACUGAAAGAAACAGUAACAUUUCGUCACAUAUAGCAUUAAACAACGUAUUAAAAAAGUGGUGUGAAUUUUCACUUUUGUCACUUUUGACCAGAUUUACAGCAGUAUUUGUUAACUUGUGAAAUUUACUUUUCUUGUAAAAAUGUUACCUCAAUGUAAAAUCUAAAGUUAAUGUUAAAUCCAAAUCCAAAUCUUACUUUGAAAUGCUGAAUGUGAAAUCUAAAUGUUAAAACAAAAUAUAAAUGUUAAAUAUAAAUGUAAAAUGUUGAAUCUAAAUGUUAAAUGUUAAAUCUAAAUAUUUAACCAACAAAUUCACACUGCCUGUCAGCGGAAGUACCAAAAUAAAAGCUUGAUGAAGCGCUCCAGCGCAAUCCGCGAUUUUUCUUUGGCAGUCACGACUGUGUGACUCCAUGUCUGCCAGUAACUGCACCUCAUCCUGCUCUACUGUUGCCCACCAACAUGGCCAGUGAUUUAGCUGAAAUCAUUGGAAAGGCCGCUUUGGCAGCAAUUCAGAACUUCUCUGGUGGGUCUGUGGUGGUCGCUAUCACUGUAGCUGCAGAACUAUGCACUGAGAGGAGACAUUUAAAUACACGGCAACAAUAUGAUAUGCUAACGAGGCAGGUGUAUAAUAAUUAUAUUGGCUGGAUAUGACCAGCUGAUGAACGGCUGAUCGCUUAAAUGAUGCUCUGGGAAAUGAAAGGGACGAAAAUGAGUGUGCAUGCAUGAUGAGGAGGAAAGGCAAGAUAAAUGAGAAACAGACUAUGAUAGGGAGCAAAUGAAGCUUGCAUAAGAAUAGUCUUCCUGAUAGAAUUUAUGCUAGAUAGAUUGGAUAGGACAAAUAUUUCCCCUGCCUCUCCAUCACUAUAUUCUUAAAGAACAUAUUUUAUUCUUUGCUGAUUAGGGUGGUAUUAUGCUGAUACAACAUUUCCAAUGAACUUAAUAAACAGCUUGAUAUGUUCAAUGUAGAGUGGCCUCAACAGUAUUUGAAUCCUUGGUUUUAGAGCACUAGAAUUGCCUUGAUUGUAUUCUCUAAAUAUCCAUCUAUCCAUUAUCACACUCACAUCAACAACGUUCAAAAAUGUUCAAUUUAGAGUUAUUCUCUAAAUAUCCAUUGUUAAAAUAAUUACCACUUUCCACCAUCAACUGGGUUACAGCCCAAAAUCCCUUUCCAUCUAAGUUCCUAAAGACAGGGUUUUCCAGAUCAAUCAUAUCAAAAAAGACAAUUAACUGUGGAAAUGUGUUUUUCAUAUUUUUAAAACAUGUUUUAUCAACCACAGGUUGAUUUAUAUAUUUUCCCAGAACAUUCAUUUAUUUUUUGCACAAACAGAAAGCAUAAAAAAGGUCGAAAGGGUGCAUUUCAUUAACACAUGUACAUUGCUUAUAAGGAUGUAGGGCGUUAAGGGCUGCUCAUAUUUUCCUGUUUGAGUACAUGUCUCUUUGUCCAGGGAGUGGGAAGUCCAUAUAGAUGUCCACGUCAAGGGCAAGGCAGAUAGGCAUCACUGAGUAGUGCACAAGGGGUCAAUAUCAUGCUUCCACACACAUUGGCCUAAGCCAAGCUCAAAGGGAUAAGGUAAUUGUGCCAUAAGCAGCAGAUCUUUACACAGCCAUCUACACAUAUGCCAUCCACAAUUCAACAUUCACAUCAGUGUGAGAAAGAAAGGCAGGUUAUGGAGGAUAUGCUCAAGUAGGGACGUAGCAUGAAUCUAAAUUAUUCUAAAUUCCCUGCUGUAUUAAAAUGUAGGAACCAUUUCCUCCAGGAGUGAACAAAUGUAUCAAUACAAAGUUUUGAAAAAACGGUCAACCUUUUCAGUCUGUAAAUUUCCUUCAAAAUUCCCAUCCAUUCUAAUUUUGUAGUGGUUUCCUUGACCAUCCACCUCCAAAGUAUGGCUUUUUACAGGUGGCGAGCAGUAUUUGGAGAAGAUACCUCCUGGUUUUCCUCUGUUAUAUUUUUGAGGUGAUGAAAAACCUGAUAGUGCUGUUUUGCAAAUAUCAAGCCAUUCCUCCUCUGUGACAAUUUUAUUGGCUUGUUUCUCCCAUUUCGAUUUGACAUACAUCUCGCAGUGACUCUCAGCCAAUGGUAGAUAUUAAUAAAUUCUCACAACCAAUUUUCUAUGGAGAUUGGAGAGAGAUGCUCAUGAUCGGAGUUCCCCCAGCACUCUAGGCCUAUAGAAGCAUAACUACGAGAUGGUUUAAUGAACACCUCAGCAUCUUAAACUAUAAAGUUUCUCAAGAGGAAGAUUUUAAGUUCAACCUUUAAUGUAGAGAGCUGGCUCCAGACGAGAGAAGCCUGGUGGCUGAAGGCUCUGCCUCCCAUUCUACUCUUACAGGUGUGUGGGGUUGAUUGCUAGUGCUUACAAUGUGAAAUUUGAAAAAUGUGAAUGCUUGUAACCUUUGGUGGAGCUUUUUGUGUUGUGUGUGAAAUGUUCCAUGUCGUGUGCUCACUUACUGUCACUAUAGAAGCUAGGCAUGUUGAUGAAUGUUCAUUAUUUGUUAGCCUGUUGCUUUUUAAGGCGUCAUGUAAAUACAAGAUGCUGUUGUGUUAAUUUUUGGGAAACCGUGGCAGGUACGUGGUCAUUGUUUUGUGUUAUAAAAGCAAUUUCUUAUGUAACGAGGGUGAGUCAAACUCACGACCUCCGGCAUGAGAUGUCCCAGUCUGCCCUCUCCUCAUCUCAUCCACUUCACCUCCCAGUCCACCGGCCCCCCUCCUUCUCCUCACCUGUCUUCCUGCCACUCCCUCCUCAUCAGCCCAACUCUCUUCACCUGUUGCACUCAGCUGGCUCUGAUCACCAAUCAACCCGGUAUUUAGACUCUCCUCACCAUUCACUCUGUGCCAGAUUGUUCUCAGCACUCAUGCAAGACUCGCCAGCGAUUACCAGACUGCCUACACGCAUUCGACCCUGCCUGCUUCUGACCAUCCCGUCCUGUUGCCUUCCCGGAUAUCACCUCAGCCUUCUGUCACCGACCAAGACCUUAAUCCCGUCCCUCCUGGUUCCGUCUGCCUCUCUCCUGGGCUGUGUGGUGUAUCCCUGCAACGGCUCCUCGACUCCCUGCCUGGCUUAGACUCUCCUUUUGCCUGUCCCUUGCUGGUUCGUUGGCAUAGUGUGUUGGAUCUCCUGGUUACCGGACCUUCCGCUUCCCUGACUACGUCUCUUGCCUGCCCCUCUUCGGAACCCCUCGCUCAAUCCUGAGCCUCUGCGUGAGUACGGUGAAACCAUUCAUGAACUGUACUCAAUGUUGUUCCUGUUCGACUUGGCUGAGUCGCUUCCCCGACCCUCCCCAAAGACUCUGAAGGCUUGCGGCUCGCAGCCGUCAGCGAACUGUUUCCUGUGUAGCGACUCUGUCUCUGGGGGAGGACACACCCACAUUUUUUGUGCUUCCCACGGCCAUGUUUGGGGACAUUUCUCCUGGAGAAGGAUCGUGUAGUGUUGUAACCCCCCCCCCCCCCC